UAGAGUUUGAUCCUGGCUCAGAACGAACGCUGGCGGCGUGCCUAACACAUGCAAGUCGAACGGAGUGAAGGAGCUUGCUCUUUCAUUUAGUGGCGCACGGGUGAGUAACGCGUAGAUAAUCUGCCUUGGCCUCUGGGAUAACAUCUCGAAAGGGGUGCUAAUACCGGAUAAGCCCACGAUGGCGUAAGUCAUUGCGGGAAAAGGGGGCCUCUGAAUAUGCUCCUGAUUCAAGAUGAGUCUGCGUACCAUUAGCUAGUUGGUAGGGUAAGAGCCUACCAAGGCGACGAUGGUUAGCUGGUCUGAGAGGAUGAUCAGCCACACUGGAACUGAGACACGGUCCAGACUCCUACGGGAGGCAGCAGUGGGGAAUUUUGCGCAUGGGGGAAACCCUGACGCAGCAACGCCGCGUGAGUGAUGAAGGCUUUCGGGUCGUAAAGCUCUGUCUAGAGGGAAGAAAUGAUAGCCGGUUAAUACCCGGUUUUCUUGACGGUACCUCUGAAGGAAGCACCGGCUAACUCCGUGCCAGCAGCCGCGG
rnacentral:rRNA from 1 species